rnacentral:rRNA from 1 species
AAGCGUUGUUCGGAUUCACUGGGCGUAACGGUUGCGUAGGCGGUCGGGUAAGUCUGAUGUGAAAUCUCACAGCUUAACUGUGAAACUGCAUUGGAUACUAUUCGGCUUGAGGUCUGGAGGGGGGACUGGAAUACUUGGUGUAGCAGUGAAAUGCGUAGAUAUCAAGUGGAACACCAGUGGCGAAGGCGAGUCCCUGGACAACUCCUGACACUGGGGCACGAAAGCUAGGGGAGCAAACAGG